AGAUCUAGAUCCAGGUAGUAACGAAAUCGCUGGAAUGUAAGGGCCUAUAACUAUGGAUGUAAUUUUGAUAAUUGCACUUGUGUGGUUGUGUUUUCGAGUUUGGCUUAUAAAAAAUGAAUACCACAGAAUUCGCAGAUGUCACUGUAUCAGUCGGUGUUAAUUCACCUUUGCCACUAGAGUUAAAAGUUGUCAUUGCUGUAUUGGCUGGAUUUUCGUUGGUUUUACUUUGCCUGCUGUACUAUUGUAUUAGAUCUUCCCAAAGCAAAAAACAGAAAUCAGUAAAUAUGCCAGACAGAGAGAGAACAAACAUGUUUAUCUGUAAUUUCCCCGUCGGAUUUUGGUACGAUGAAUUCAAAUCAACUGCUAGUUACAACGAAAUACGUCUGCUAGAAGGCAAAUCAAUUAACAAAGGAAAUGACAAAAUUCAUCACGCUUUGAUUUAAACACAGGGAACAGAGAUCUAAUUAUAAAAUUAUGAAAAGAAACAACAAGAGAUCUAUUUUGUAAAACUAGACUAUUUAGGCCUACAUGUAUUUAUUUUUCAGAAGCAUAUUAUAAUUUCAUUGACACGUUAUGUCUUUUGCAGUCAUCGGUCUGUAGUCGUUAAUUUUCAUGUAUCAGCAAUGGAUGGAUCAGUAGUACACUUACUGUAUUAAUUUACCAUGGCCGUAUUUGGCGGUCUGUAGGCCAUGGGGCAACGAAGGAGCAGAGGCACUGUAAUUGUUAUCCAAAUAAAAGAAACAUUUUUUUCCGGUCAAGUCUUUCAAUAUUCGAUAAAAGUAUUUCUAUUGUGGGGGGCACUUCUCUCAUUGGUACCCUCCCAGUAACCUGCCCUUCGCCAUAUCCAACCCUUUUGAUUAUUAGGCUAUAGGCCUACAUCAACUCUUGUUUUAAAUGACACCAAUACUCUUUUUGUUUGACAAAAUUGGGCGCCGUGGUAUAUAAAGAACAAACACGGACCUGAUGAUAUUUAUAUUGUGAGAAUAUAGAUCCAGGUUUAAGUCAUGUGACAUAUUGUUCUCCUACCUAAAGAAAAGAAAUUAUAAGAGAAAGGAAGCAGGCUUAUAAUUUAUGUUUGCUUUUUGUCCAGAAUCAUUCUAGUUUUUUGUUUUAUAAAUUAGGCAUAAUACCUGGCCUAUACAUAUUCAAAUUAUUAUUAUUAUUUGAAAUAACUGGCUUUCUAGAAUGAAAAUAAAAGACUGUGCAUUUUAUCUUUGCUAUUGUGGUUCAUAUAUGUUAGGAUCGAUGUAUAUAUAUGGCAGUGUAGAAAAACAAAGUAGAGGUAUUUAUGAUAAUAUGUUAACAAGUUUACAACCGUUGAAAAAGACAAUUCAGAAUCAAUGUAGGCCUAUGUUUUGUCUGUACAAGGCUCUCACAAAGGGAAGUGAAGCUUUUAUUCGCUAUAAAAUUGAAAUCGUGCAUUAUCUUAUCUUAUUUAAUACAGACGUUACUUCAAAAAAAAUAGAAGAUGAUUAUAUCUAAGUCCAUACUAUACUAUUAAGUCUUGACCAUAGACAUAUUUAUGGUCUUGACUCUUGACACUAUAGCUUUGAACCAUAUUUGAACGCAUAAAGACAGCAUAUUCAUGCAUACAAGUCAAUGAGUUAGCCAGAUUUCUACGAAAUCAAUUUAAAUUAAGUUCUCCGAUUUUUCUCGAAAUUGUCCAAAAAAAAAGUUACAAGGCAGAUUCAAACUUUGCAUCAUAUAGAUCUAGAUCUACAUUUUCUGAGACCACGGAUCAGUUUAAAAAAAAAUAAGUUGGCAACUUAAAGGAUCAGUACAUGUAUUUCGGCCAUUAUUUUAGCCGCUUACUGUAUCGACUGUAUGUAUAAGUUUGUAACACUUUGUUGUUUCAUAUAAUCCCGCUUACAUUUCAUUCUACAGUCCCAACCUCCACAUACUUCUGUGAGCUUGCGCUCCCAGAGCUAUUU
rnacentral:sRNA from 1 species